AAAAGUCAAAGAUUAAGACCUGACAAAUGUUCAGAGCAUCUGAGCAACUCAGCAUGGAGUGAAACAGGCUUUACCGCUGGUGCUGACACAGAGGAUUUUUGAUUCUUUCCAUCUCACAGGAAGAGACAGGUUGAGCCCAGCACCUGCAGAUACUCUUCAAAAUACAAAAAUGAAACCUUUUUGAAGGUCUGCUCCAGCUGCUUGACCUGUCAGACCUCUGCUAAAAUACACAGCAGACAUCACUCCAGGUGCUAGUGUAGUUAUAUCUUCAGCUGCACUGUCAGAUGCAAGUGCUCUGUAUCUUACCUAGCUCAUUGUUACUCGUAUCCUGAACAAGGAGACUCAAAGCCUGUGAAUGCUGCA